GAGUUUGAUCCUGGCUCAGAGCGAACGCUGGCGGCAUGCUUAACACAUGCAAGUCGCACGGUUCAGCAAUGGCAGUGGCGGACGGGGUGAGUAACACGUAGGGAAUCUAUCUCUGGGUGGGGGACAACAGUGGGAAACUACUGCUAAUACCGCAUGAUACCUGAGGGUCAAAGGCGUAAGUCGCCUGGAGAGGAGCCUGCGUCUGAUUAGCUUGUGUGGGUAAAGGCCUACCAAGGCUACGAUCAGUAGCUGGUCUGAGAGGAUGAUCAGCCACAUUGGGACUGAGACACGGGCCCAAACUCCUAC
rnacentral:rRNA from 1 species